UUUCCGUAGGUGAACCUGCGGAAGGAUCAUUACCGAAUUGUCAAACGGGUUGUUGCUGGUCCUCAAACGGGGACAUGUGCACGCUCUGUUUACACAUCCACUCACACCUGUGCACCCUCCGUAGUUCUAUGGUCUGGGGGACCCCGUCUUCCUGCCGUGGUUCUGCGUCUUUACACACACGCUGUAACAAAGUCUUAUGGAUGUAUGCCGCGUCUAACGCAAUACAAUACAACUUUCAGCAACGGAUCUCUUGGCUCUC
rnacentral:misc_RNA from 1 species